UUGAACGCUGGCGGCAUGCCUUACACAUGCAAGUCGAACGGUAACGGGCCUUCGGGUGCCGACGAGUGGCGAACGGGUGAGUAAUACAUCGGAACGUGCCCGAUCGUGGGGGAUAACGAGGCGAAAGCUUUGCUAAUACCGCAUACGAUCUACGGAUGAAAGCAGGGGACCGCAAGGCCUUGCGCGGACGGAGCGGCCGAUGGCAGAUUAGGUAGUUGGUGGGAUAAAAGCUUACCAAGCCGACGAUCUGCAGCUGGUCUGAGAGGAUGAUCAGCCACACUGGGACUGAGACACGGCCCAGACUCCUACGGGAGGCAGCAGUGGGGAAUUUUGGACAAUGGGCGCAAGCCUGAUCCAGCCAUGCCGCGUGCAGGAUGAAGGCCUUCGGGUUGUAAACUGCUUUUGUACGGAACGAAAAGCCUUCUUUUAAUACAGGAGGGUCAUGACGGUACCGUAAGAAUAAGCACCGGCUAACUACGUG
rnacentral:rRNA from 1 species